rnacentral:tRNA from 2 species
GUCCCCAUCGUCUAGCUCGGCCUAGGACAUCGGCCUUUCACGUCGGUAACACGGGUUCGAAUCCCGUUGGGGACGCCA